UGCGAGGAAGGACAGUGACCACGCUGCCGGGAUGGCUCUGAGUGACGAGGCUUCUUCAGCACUUGCAGACAGGGUUAAUGCUAUGCUGCAAAAGCUAGAAAAGGAAAUUGAUGAUGUUGAUGUAAAAAUUGGGGAUCGCUGGCAGUUGCUGGACAGCAAUAAGAAAAGUCUCAAAGUGGGUGCAUCUGAUUGAUUAGUUCAUCAUAAGCCUGAUCAAGGUGGACAUUUGCGCUUAUACGGGCUACACGGAGGUUUUGGCGGGCUCCGCUUUGGGAGGCAUCCUGGUAUGUAUCUGCCACGUCCGCUACAAACCGGCUUUCGCUUCAGUGCCGGAGCUGUGAUAUAU